AGGGUUUGAUCAUGGCUCAGGAUGAACGCUAGCGGCAGGCCUAACACAUGCAAGUCGAGGGGCAGCAUUGGUACUUGUACCAGAUGGCGACCGGCGCACGGGUGCGUAACGCGUAUGCAACCUACCUAUUACAUAGGGAUAGCCUCUGGAAACGGAGAUUAAUACCUAAUGGUAUCUAGAUAUUGCAUGAUAUUAAGAUUAAAGAUUUAUCGGUAAGAGAUGGGCAUGCGUGACAUUAGCUAGUUGGUAAGGUAACGGCUUACCAAGGCUACGAUGUCUAGGGGUUCUGAGAGGAUGAUCCCCCACACUGGUACUGAGACACGGACCAGACUCCUACGGGAGGCAGCAGUGAGGAAUAUUGGUCAAUGGACGCAAGUCUGAACCAGCCAUGCCGCGUGCAGGAUGACGGCCUUCUGGGUUGUAAACUGCUUUUAUAUAGGGUGAAAAUUAUCUACGUGUAGAUAACUGACGGUACUAUAAGAAUAAGGACCGGCUAACUCCGUGCCAGCAGCCGCGGUAAUACGGAGGGUCCAAGCGUUAUCCGGAUUUAUUGGGUUUAAAGGGUCCGUAGGCGGGCUAAUAAGUCAGAGGUGAAAUCUGGUCGCUCAACGAUCAAACUGCCUUUGAUACUGUUAGUCUUGAAUAUAUUUGAAGUAGGCGGAAUAUGUAGUGUAGCGGUGAAAUGCAUAGAUAUUACAUAGAACACCAAUUGCGAAGGCAGCUUACUAAGAUAUUAUUGACGCUGAUGGACGAAAGCGUGGGUAGCGAACGGGAUUAGAUACCCCGGUAGUCCACGCCGUAAACGAUGUAUACUCGGUGCUUGUCUACUUGAAGAUGAGUGCCAAAGCGAAAGUAUUAAGUAUACCACCUGGGGAGUACGCUGGCAACAGUGAAACUCAAAGUAAUUGACGGGGGCCCGCACAAGCGGUGGAGCAUGUGGUUUAAUUCGAUGAUACGCGAGGAACCUUACCUGGACUUAAAUGUAGCGUGACAGGACUGGAAACAGUUUUUCCUUCGGACAGAAUGCAAGGUGCUGCAUGGCUGUCGUCAGCUCGUGCCGUGAGGUGUCGGGUUAAGUCCCAUAACGAGCGCAACCCCUAUCGUUAGUUGCUAACAGGUUAAGCUGAGGACUCUAGCGAGACUGCCUACGCAAGUAGAGAGGAAGGUGGGGACGACGUCAAGUCAUCACGGCCCUUACGUCCAGGGCUACACACGUGCUACAAUGGUAGGAACAGCAAGUUGCCAACCAGUGAUGGUGAGCUAAUCUCUAAAUCCUAUCUCAGUUCGGAUCGGAGUCUGCAACUCGACUUCGUGAAGUUGGAUUCGCUAGUAAUCGCAUAUCAGCCAUGAUGCGGUGAAUACGUUCCCGGGCCUUGUACACACCGCCCGUCAAGCCAUGGAAGCUGGGGGUGCCUGAAGUCGGUGACCGCAAGGAGCCGCCUAGGGUAAAACUAGUAACUAGGGCUAAGUCGUAACAAGGUAGCC
rnacentral:rRNA from 1 species